rnacentral:misc_RNA from 1 species
GAUAAGAACGCAGCGAAAUGCGAUAAGUAAUGCGAAUUGCAGAAUUCCAGUGAGUCAUCGAAUCUUUGAACGCACAUUGCGCCCUUUGGUAUUCCGAAGGGCAUGCCUGUUCGAGCGUCAUUAUCACCCCUCAAGCCCUCGGCUUGGUGUUGGACGGUUUGGUGGAGGCCCCCUCGGGGGCUCCUGCCCCUCCCAAAGACAAUGACGGCGGCCUCGUUGGACCCCCGGUACACUGAGUUCUUCACGGGACACGUAUCGGACACAUGGGUUUACGGGACACGGUCUGCCUCCCCUCAGGGAGAAUCUUUCUAAGGUUGACCUCGGAUCAGGUAGGGAUACCCGCUGAACUUAAGCAUAUCAAUAAGCGGAGGA